AGAAUUGAGUAGAGAAAAAGAAAAACAAAACUUUAAGCUGAUCCUUCCGAUAUUAGUGAAAAUAAGGUUGACAAAUUGGGUUGAUAUUUGUGCUGCUAUGAGCCAGUUGACUUCAACUUCACUGUAGCGAUGAACCGAGGAAGCGGUAAAAUCAAUUUAAAAAAACCUUUGCUAUAAAAAUGAAGAAAAAUAAACAAAAUACCUACUUCCUUCCAUUCAUGACCGAAUGAAUCCUCUACAUCCUUCAAUCUUCAAUCUAUGGUUGAAUGACAACACAUAUGUUGAAAUCAAUCUACAAAAAAAAUACAAAGUUGAAACAAUAAAGGGUCGUUAUUCACAACUUUUGAACAAUCAUCAGGGCUCUCAUUUAACAAAGCCUUUCGUUUAGAUCUGUCCAUGUAUAUAUGUAUUCUUGCCUGAUUUAUCAUAUUAGAAAGAAGGAACACUUCGAUCUUUGUAUGUUAUAAAAGGGAAUAAAAAGAACUGACUUCUCUGAUGCAACUACACUACAAGAAAAAGCAUCUGUAGGGACCAUAGCUAUAGGGACGACAAAAGGCGUUUCUAUAUAUUAUCUAUAGAGACGACAUGUCGUCUCUAUAGAGUUGACCAACAUUUUUUGACUCGUUAAUCUAUAGAGACGACCAGUUGUUGCAAAAAGUUAAGCAGAUAGUUGGCGGGUCUACAAGUUAGGUGAGAAUUUUCGCGGGACGUCGUUUUGUCUAAGGGUGUGGAGAUGACAGAUCGUCCCAUAGGCUUCUACUCCCUUAAUCGAGAAUACAUCAUCCCCUCUCUCUUAUUCAAUCGCAACGGUUAUCACAUUUUCCUCUCUCUCGAUCGGCGAUUGGUAUAUGUCGAACACCUUCACCUUCGGCCUCCUCAGUAGCAACAACUGUCAUUGCUAACGUUGUUACCAGCGAUCUCCUUCGGUAAUUCGUGAUCGCAGUCUUCCCUUCAAUCUUCUCUCUUCUUUGAUCGAAGAUUUGUUGCUUUCUGGAUACGAAAUCGACGGCCAUUUUACCAGCCCAACUCCACAGCACAACCACCUUCACUAUCGACGAUGCUUCAAUUCCCCUGUGACAACGACUGCUUCUUCACUCUCCAACAACAUCCAAUUUCGAAAAUCAUAAAGAUUAUGACAUCAGGUACAGAUAAAGCUCUCGGGCAUGCUGGUCCAGUUCUUUCAGCAUUGAGUGAGAAUUAAUGACAUCAACUUGAGCUCUGUUAUCAACACAUUGCCAAAUACUGUGUUAUCUGAAUCUAGUGCAAAGGAAACAGAACCUCUCACAGAGGAGGAUGCUAUUGUAGAUAUAAUGGGAAGACAUGAUCAAUUCGUAUCUUCAAUGCAGUCUCGUCUAGCCAAACUACAGAUGAUUCAUAGAUGCUGGGAUAGGAAUGAUAUUAAAGCAGCAAUUAGAGCAAUGGAGAGAAUGGCUGAUCAUUCUGUGACUGCAGAUAUUGUGAGUCUUUUGACGGAAAAAAUGGACACCAUCACAUUGGAUAUUUGUUCUUGUCUACUACCUCUCCUCACAAGCCUCCUUGAAAGCGACAUGGAUAAGUACACAUUGGAUAUGAUGUAAAAGUGUAGCAUUUAAGUUAAUCUUUGGCAGUAUAUGUCCCCAAGACCACAAAACAGGUCCAGUAGUUUUUAGAUGAAUUAAUGUUCAUUCUCCAUGUAAAGUUUUUGUUUUCUAUUUUCACAUUAAAUAAAUUACCAUUACUGAUUUUCCUAAAAUACAAAGGUCGAAGAGCUCAAGUUGCAAUGUGAUCAUAAUCUGAGAAGCAUUGAGGUGAUUGAGAGGAUGCAUACACAAAUACACACACACUGAUUUCGUUUGUUCCUGUAAUUGUAUAGGUUUCUGUUGAUAAACUUGCAAUGAAGUCAGCAGAAAAGAGAGUACCUUAAGAAUUUUUAGUAGGGAUAAAUGCAAGAAAUCAUUUGUUAAACAAUCUAAGUGCUAAUUAUCAUUGUUCCUCAAACUUCAGCUCCUUCUGAGAGUCUGAAUAUCAACUUCAAAAAUCAUUUGCAAAGGAAUGAUGGUACUAUGGAAGGAGUGAUUGAGGAUGAAAAGGCUAAUAAGUAAUAUUAACAAAGUUUCUUUUUUUUGUAGGGUGGAAUUACUUCUUCAGAUGUUGCUACAAAAGCUUUAGAAGCAAAACGUGCCAGAAUAGUUGGGCAAGCAUUCACUGGUGUUCCUUUGUGGCAGUUGGGCCGUGCAAAGCAGGCAUCCGGGUGUUCCUUACAUUGUUUUUCCAGGAUGCAGAAAAGGGGUAUAAUAUUGAAGGGGUUAAAGCAGUUCAUUUGAAUUAUUCAUCCUAGUGCUCUAAAGCAAGGAGGAAACCCUUUGGUGGCAAGCUGCAUCUCUGCUGCUGAAAGCAUAUUUAACAAAAAAGCUCUACUAUUUGUUUAGAGGGACAAAAAUGAAAGUUGAAAUUUGUAUUGAUCUUCAGCUUAUCACCGUUCAUUUUGAUCAUGGUAAUUCCAAACAAGAACAUGUAAUGUUUGGGAAUCUUCCUUUAAUUUGUACUGCUUUAAAACAUGUAAUAAAAUCCUUUAGCAUUA